AGCAGGCCAUAUUUGAACUUAGGUCACAGCGUAAAGGACUGAGCCUCACAGGACACGAUCCACUAGCUAUCGAGGCUCCCUUGCUUUUAUUCCUCUUUAAGGUCAACGCAGAGUUUCAACAAAUCACCACCAUAAAUCUUGAGGCAAAAUUCAUGUCAAUUUUGGACCUUCAUUCCCCUAAACUCCUUUCCAGAGAGAAACAUCGUGCAGAAAUGAAUAUUUCCUACAGAGUGGAAUUUCCAUUCAGAAAACCAUAGAAGUCAUCCGAUCAAUCAUCAAUGAUCAAUCAUCAAUCACCUUGGUGAAGAUGAUCAAAGAGUUUGAGGUGAUGGCUGUGUACCUGUUCCGGAAUAAAAGUGGACAGGUCAAUGAUGUUGGGAUCGUCAUUGAAGGUUCCAUUGUACUCAACCAUCUUGGGGAUCUUAGCAGAUCCUGUUGCUUCCUGCUAGCACUGACCCUAUGCUUUGGAUCUGAAAUAUCCCAAAACUCAUGGAAGUGGAUUCCGGAAACCUUUCAGCAAAGGUGCAAAGACUGAAACAAUGUGGUCAUAUAGGUUGCUGAGAGGCAGCUGUUCAGAUGAGAAAAUAUGUUUUAUUUAAUCAGACAAUCUCCAGGUGUGGUCAGGCUCAAAGUGUUGGACAGAUUUCAAUUCUUAUAACAAGAAUGAAUUUAUUACGCUUUAUUUUUCCAUGUCUUUGGGUGUAAACACAUUUACAACAUAAGUUCCUUAUGACUUGGCCAUUUAGUUGUUUAUUCCUUUUAAAACAUUGCUCUGGGUUGUCCUUUUAUAUUCGAAGUAGAUGUGUAUAAAAUCAGUGUCUCACCCUGCCUGCAGACUGUAAUGUGUUGUGUAAAUGUAGAAUGCUAAAAGAUGACUACAGUAUUUUUUGAGUGUAAAUGAUUGAUACCCGAUGGCCGGAGUCAAGUUUUUGCAUCUAACAGGUUCAGAUUGUUAUAAGUGUCUAGCGACAUUGUGAAUAGGAUACCUUAUGCACUUCUCACUUAUUUGCGCUAUACUUUGUCAUUGAUGUUGCUACUAGUGUUUCACAUGUGCAUGCAUUGCAAUCAAAUAAAACGUUCAUGUUU